UACAGAGGGUGCGAGCGUUGUCCGGAAUCACUGGGCGUAAAGCGCACGUAGGCGGUCUUUUAAGUCGGGGGUGAAAUCCUGGAGCUCAACUCCAGAACUGCCUUCGAUACUGGAAGACUUGAGUCCGGGAGAGGUGAGUGGAACUGCGAGUGUAGAGGUGAAAGUUCGUAGAUAUUCGCAAGAACACCAGUGGCGAAGGCGGCUCACUGGCCCGGUACUGACGCUGAGGUGCGAAAGCGUGGGGAGCAAACAGG
rnacentral:rRNA from 1 species